rnacentral:lncRNA from 1 species
CUCAUUGUUCUCAAAUCACUUUCAAUCAAUCUUCUUUAGCUGCUUCAGCUGCUUCCCUUGCUUCCCUUGCUUUCCUAGCCCUAAAAUAGAAAGAUAAAUAAAGUAAACAUGUACAUAUAAGUAGUUUGACUGUAUACCUUUAAUAUAUGUUAAUAAAUUGACGUAUUUAUUGUUGUAAAGGUCUUUCCGAAAAGUUUUGAUAUAACCGAUAUUCAUACAAGUUCUAAUCAACUGGUUUCAUUUCUUAUGUUGAGCUCAUGCACUGGUUAAUUACAUGAUUAUUGUAUAAGGCCGUUGAUUGCACUCGAGCCUAUAAUGGGUGACAGUUAUUAUUUGGCUUGAGUGUGAUGUACCAUGUCAGGAAUAUGACAGUUGCUGUCAUUUCAUUUGAUGUGUUUUAGCUUUUGAUUUUGCCAUUUGACUAGGGACUUUCUGUUUGGAAUUAACCUUAGAGUUCAGUAUUUAAAUGAUUUUACUCUAAUGCAUAUGAGGUUAUGAAGCAAGAAAUUAC